GCAAGGGAGGGAAGCCUCUGAUACUCCCUGAAUACUCCAGAGAGAAAAUGAGUGACUGCUGUAGGCCGUCGAAAGUUGAAGAAAAUACAGAAAUUUUAUAUAAACUGAAAAUCAGUAAGGAAAAUCAAAGAGUUGAUAAGGCCUGCCCAAGAGGAUGAGAAGCUUCCUUUUUACUGCUGUGGAUUCUUACAAGAUUGUCAACUCAGGGUGGACUGACAAGUAACCUAACACAAUCUCCUUCAUAGCCUCUUCCAGCCCAACUAUCAUUCUCCUUCCAGUCCAAGGUGUGGCAUCUGAUAAUUAAAACACGUCCAUGGAGAAUUUUUGAAGGUCAUCUCAUUUCUCUUUUAUGUGUGAUAUCAUUUAUAAAGGCAGAAGGAGCACUACUUUUGUGGGCACUGAAAGCUUUACUUCCAUGCAAAAAAAUAGGUCAUUAUUGUUUCACUGUUAGAAAUUCCAGAAAUCAUUUCUCUUGGAGACAUGAUUGUGGCAAAGAAAACUUGGUAGGUUACUAUAUCAAUGACUGUAAAACUUUGGGGAGAUUCUUUCAAAAGAAAGGCAUCGGUACUAACAUGGGAGGCUUAGAUACACCAACUGGUUCUCUCUGAUUUUGGCACAGAGAGGGACAAUUGUUAGAACAGAUGGGAAGGUACACUAUGAUAAUUCACUUUGUAAUGAGCAGCAUCAUAAUUUAAAAUAUAUAUCUCAAUUACACCUCAAAUACUUGUUUAGGGAGCAGUCAGUGAAGGUCCGUUAUUGAAUACUUACUGUUAAGUCUCUUCCCAGAUGAAAUCUAGUCGUAUGAUGCAUGAAUUAAUACCAGCGAGGUGACUGUACAAAGCAGGAUUAGCAAACUUAUCUGUAUGUGAAGCAAUGUAAAUUAACAAAAUGGAGAAGACAUUCAUAAAGACUUGAAACUUCCCAGAAUGGCUCUUCACUUCACAAGGUGCUUGCAGUUUUUUCAUGUGUUAUUCAAGCAUCACAGCAGUCACUAGAUGACUGCUUACCAUUUGGGCAAGUGAUAGUCAUACCUAAUAUACCCAAGAGACACAAACAUUUAUAAAGCAUAUGGGAGCAGCCAGAGGAUGGGAGAUCAAAGACACUUUUGAAGGAAGAAGUGAAAGGAAAAAAGUAGAUCUGAAAGAGACUUUCUGAGGUGUUGGGGAGAAGCAGGAAGUAGAGAAUCCUCAAACAAUUUAUCUUCGGGUUUAAAAAUAUUAUUUCCUUUAUGCUAAACAAUUAGAUCAUGGGCAUCCAACCUUAUUGCUUGCUAGGACACACCAAGCAAACAGGAAUUGUCUUAGGCCACAUAUAAAAUAAAUAAUACAGUUAAUGUACUUAAGUAACAAAACUUCUUUUUUUUUAAUGUAUUUUUUAUUAAAAUGUAAAAAAACAUAGAUCAACAAAGAUGUAAAACUAGUGAGAUAUUUGACUUUGUGAAACUAAUGCAUCAGUGUUUGGAUUGCAAUUCAUAGUGAGUUUUCAAGGUGUUUGUCAGAGAUUUUAGAUGAAACUUUACUCUGCUCUCAUACAUUCUGCCAGCAAGAAAUCUAUUCCAGACCUGGAAGCAGUUUAGAGGAAGAGAAAGUGAAG
ensembl:lncRNA